rnacentral:lncRNA from 1 species
GCGAGAGUUGAACUACAUUCAUCCACUUUUAAUCAAUCAUUUUUCCGCUAUUUUUCUUAUCUUUUAUCUUUUUAUUCUCUUUUUUCCAGAAGGAAAAUGUAAUGACAUCCUUCUUUGCUUUUUCCAUAUAUUUUUAUUUUUCUACAUACAUUUUUUGUUCUUUUUUCUGCCAAUUUUUGAAUGAAAUAUCACAACUAUAAUUAGUCAACCCCACACAACUCCAAACAAGACUCUUU